UCCCUGGUGGCUCAGAGGGUAAAGCGUCUGCCUACAAUGCAGGAGACUUGGGUUCAGUUCCUGGGUCGGGAA
rnacentral:tRNA from 1 species